AGCAGCCGCGGUAAUUCCAGCUCCAAUAGCGUAUAUUAAAGUUGUUGCAGUUAAAAAGCUCGUAGUUGAAUUUCGGGGUUAGUAGGUUGGUCAUGCCUCUGGUAUGUACUGGUCUCACUGAUUCCUCCUUCCUGAUGAACCUUAAUGCCAUUUAUUUGGUGUUUUGGGGAAUUUGGACUGUUACUUUGAAAAAUUAGAGUGUUUAAAGUAAGCUAACGCUUGAAUACAUUAGCAUGGAAUAAUGAAAUAGGACGUUCGAUCCUAUUUUGUUGGUUUCUAGGAUUGACGUAAUGAUUAAUAGGGAUAGUUGGGGGCAUUAGUAUUCAAUUGUCAGAGGUGAAAUUCUUGGAUUUAUUGAAGACUAACUACUGCGAAAGCAUUUGCCAAGGAUGUUUUCAUUAAUCAAGAACGAAAGUUAGGGGAUCGAAGACGAUCAGAUACCGUCGUAGUCUUAACCAUAAACUAUGCCGACUAGGGAUCGGAUGAUGUUAAUUUUUAAUGACUCAUUCGGCGCCUUACG
rnacentral:misc_RNA from 1 species